rnacentral:rRNA from 1 species
UAAAGUUGUUGCAGUUAAAAGGCUCGUAGUUGAAUUUCGGAUUCAGUAGGUUGGUCGCGCCACUGGUAUGUACUGGCUUCACUGAUUCCUCCUUCUUGUAGAAAUGUGAUGCCAUUAAUUUGGUUGUUGCACGGAAACAGGACUGUUACUUUGAAAAAAUUAGAGUGUUUAAAGCAGGCUAACGCUUGAAUACAUUAGCAUGGAAUAAUGAAAUAGGACGUUCGAACCUUUUUGUUGGUUUUCUAGGAUUGACGUAAUGAUUAAUAGGG